ACCCAGGUGACGAGUCACAAUUAGGACGAAACGCGCGUCAAACUGGAU
rnacentral:hammerhead_ribozyme from 1 species